GUAGUCAUAUGCUUGUCUCAAAGAUUAAGCCAUGCAUGUCUAAGUAUAAGCAAUCUAUACAGUGAAACUGCGAAUGGCUCAUUAAAUCAGUUAUCGUUUAUUUGAUAGUACCUUACUACUUGGAUAACCGUGGUAAUUCUAGAGCUAAUACAUGCUAAAAAUCCCGACCUCUGGAAGGGAUGUAUUUAUUAGAUAAAAAACCAAUGUCUUCGGACUCUUGGGUGAUUCAUGAUAACUUUACGAAUCGCAUGGCCUUGCGCCGGCGAUGGUUCAUUCAAAUUUCUGCCCUAUCAACUUUCGAUGGUAGGAUAGUGGCCUACCAUGGUUUCAACGGGUAACGGGGAAUUAGGGUUCUAUUCCGGAGAGGGAGCCUGAGAAACGGCUACCACAUCCAAGGAAGGCAGCAGGCGCGCAAAUUACCCAAUCCCGACACGGGGAGGUAGUGACAAUAAAUACUGAUACAGGGCCCUUUUGGGUCUUGUAAUCGGAAUGAGUACAAUUUAAAUCUCUUAACGAGGAACAAUUGGAGGGCAAGUCUGGUGCCAGCAGCCGCGGUAAUUCCAGCUCCAAUAGCGUAUAUUAAAGUUGUUGCAGUUAAAAAGCUCGUAGUUGAACCUUGGGUCUGGCUGACCGGUCCGCCUCACCGCGUGCACUGGCUCGGCCGGACCUUUCCUUCUGGCAAACCACAUGCCCUUUAUUGGGUGUGUUGGGGAACCAGGACUUUUACUUUGAAAAAAUUAGAGUGUUCAAAGCAGGCAUAUGCUCGAAUA
rnacentral:rRNA from 1 species